rnacentral:rRNA from 1 species
UGGGGAAUUUUGGACAAUGGGCGAAAGCCUGAUCCAGCAAUGCCGCGUGUGUGAAGAAGGCCUUCGGGUUGUAAAGCACUUUUGUCCGGAAAGAAAUCCUUGGCUCUAAUACAGUCGGGGGAUGACGGUACCGGAAGAAUAAGCACCGGCUAACUACGUGCCAGCAGCCGCGGUAAUACGUAGGGUGCAAGCGUUAAUCGGAAUUACUGGGCGUAAAGCGUGCGCAGGCGGUUUGCUAAGACCGAUGUGAAAUCCCCGGGCUCAACCUGGGAACUGCAUUGGUGACUGGCAGGCUAGAGUAUGGCAGAGGGGGGUAGAAUUCCACGUGUAGCAGUGAAAUGCGUAGAGAUGUGGAGGAAUACCGAUGGCAGAGGCAGCCCCCUGGGCCAAUACUGACGCUCAUGCACGAAAGCGUGGGGAGCAAACAGGAUUAGAUACCCUGGUAGUCCACGCCCUAAACGAUGUCAACUAGUUGUUGGGGAUUCAUUUCCUUAGUAACGUAGCUAACGCGUGAGGUUGACCGCCCGGGGAGUACGGUCGCAAGAUUAAAACUCAAAGGAAUUGACGGGGU